AAUGAACGCUGGCGGCAUGCUUUACACAUGCAAGUCGAACGGUAACAGGCCUUCGGGUCCUGACGAAUGGCGAACGGGGGCGUAAUGCUACGGAACGUAUCCCGAGGUGGGGGAUAAGGCAGCGAAAGGUGUGCUAGUACCGCAUGUGAUCUGAGAAUGAGAACGGCGGACUGAGCAGCAAUGUUUGGCCUCGCGCGUUUCGAACGGCCGAUGUCGGAUUAGCUAGUUGGUUGGGUAAAGGCCUACCAAGGCGACGAUCCGUAGCUGGUCUGAGAGGACGAUCAGCCACACUGGGACUGAGACACGGCCCAGACUCCUACGGGAGGCAGCAGUGGGGAAUUUUGGACAAUGGGCGCAAGCCUGAUCCAGCAACGCCGCGUGAGGGAAGAAGGCCUUCGGGUUGUAAACCGCUUUUGGCAGGAACGAAACGGUGUCCGCUAAUACCGGGCGCUAAUGACGGUACCUGCAGAAUAAGCACCGGCUAACUACGUG
rnacentral:rRNA from 1 species